UACGUAGGGGGCAAGCGUUGUCCGGAUUCAUUGGGCGUAAAGAGCGUGUAGGCGGCCAGGUAGGUCGGUUGUGAAAACUGGAGGCUCAACCUUCAGAGGUCGACCGAAACCAUCUGGCUAGAGUCCGGGAGAGGAGAGUGGAAUGCCUGGUGUAGCGGUGAAAUGCGCAGAUAUCAGGAAGAACACCCGUGGCGAAAGCGGCGCUCUGGAACGGUACUGACGCUGAGACGCGAAAGCGUGGGGAGCGAACAGG
rnacentral:rRNA from 1 species